CUCCAGGGGAUUGUCCCGACCCAGGGAUCGAACCUGUGUCUUACAUCUCCUGCAUUGGCAGGUACCAGGUAGAAUGCGUUGUAGCUUGCUUUUUAUUCACUUGGAUGCAGCCCUGAUGUCCUCAUUUACGCCAUUGUAUGUAUGGAAGGGGGUUUCCUUUACUGGCAAAUCUGGUAAAUCUUGUUAUUUAUGUCACUGUUUUCCUUAGCUUUUACGGUUGUUGUCCUUUCCAGAGCUUAUGAAUUCCUACUAGAAUCCUCUGAAAUAUAUUUACGUAAUAAAGGUGUUUUCUAUAAAAGGA